rnacentral:rRNA from 1 species
UACGAAGGGGGCUAGCGUUGCUCGGAAUCACUGGGCGUAAAGCGCACGUAGGCGGCCUUCUAAGUCGAACGUGAAAUCCCCGGGCUCAACCCGGGAACUGCGUCCGAUACUGGAAGGCUUGAAUCCGGGAGAGGGAUGCGGAAUUCCAGGUGUAGCGGUGAAAUGCGUAGAUAUCUGGAGGAACACCGGUGGCGAAGGCGGCAUCCUGGACCGGCAUUGACGCUGAGGCGCGAAAGCCAGGGGAGCAAAGCGGG